UUCUUUUUUUUUUUUUUUUUGGGCAUGAAAAGGUUAUUUUAUUUGAAAACUCAAGGAUUAAAAUGUAAUUCAAAAUAAAAUCUUAGGGAAUAAAGUAUAUAAUAUUUUAAGUGAAAGACAAAGGUGUAAUGAAAUUAAAAAGUUGAGGUCUAUUUAAUUCAAUUUUGAAAAUGAAAGGACAGAAGUGUGAAUAUUGAUAAAU
rnacentral:misc_RNA from 1 species